rfam:Cyberlindnera jadinii NRRL Y-1542 unplaced genomic scaffold CYBJAscaffold_4, whole genome shotgun sequence.
GCCGUUAUAGUAUAGUGGUUAGUACAGGUCGUUGUGGCCGACCAGACCCAGGUUCGAUUCCAGGUAACGGCA